AUUCAAAGGAAGUAGGACACGGGCAGUCUCCCUCACAGUAGGGAGACUAUAAGGUUCGAAUUGCUUUCUCUGCUGGUGAUCAUCUUCUUUGUCCCGGUAGAGAACUGAUCAUCGAGUGCUUUCUUUCUCCAUUGAAGUUCACCCUCAUCUUCCUUCCCCACCCAUCGCUCCGGGUUCGAGUAGCGGUCCGACAAGUUGAGACGAAAGAUGUGAA
rnacentral:misc_RNA from 1 species